rnacentral:rRNA from 1 species
AAAAGGUCUCGUUGGUGACCAGCGGAGGGUCAUUACCGAGUUUACAACUCCCAAACCCAAUGUGAACGUUACCAAACUGUUGCCUCGGCGGGAUCUCUGCCCCGGGUGCGUCGCAGCCCCGGACCAAGGCGCCCGCCGGAGGACCAACCAAAACUCUUAUUGUAUACCCCCUCGCGGGUUUUUUACUAUCUGAGCCAUCUCGGCGCCCCUCGUGGGCGUUUCGAAAAUGAAUCAAAACUUUCAACAACGGAUCUCUUGGUUCUGGCAUCGAUGAAGAACGCAGCGAAAUGCGAUAAGUAAUGUGAAUUGCAGAAUUCAGUGAAUCAUCGAAUCUUUGAACGCACAUUGCGCCCGCCAGUAUUCUGGCGGGCAUGCCUGUCCGAGCGUCAUUUCAACCCUCGAACCCCUCCGGGGGGUCGGCGUUGGGGAUCGGCCCUUUACGGGGCCGGCCCCGAAAUACAGUGGCGGUCUCGCCGCAGCCUCUCCUGCGCAGUAGUUUGCACACUCGCAUCGGGAGCGCGGCGCGUCCACAGCCGUUAAACACCCCAAACUUCUGAAAUGUUGACCUCGGAUCAGGUAGGAAUACCCGCUGAACUUAAGCAUAUCAAUAAGCGGAGGA